GCUCCCCGGGGCUGAGUCCAGCUGGAGCCACUUUCCUCCACACAUUCGAGGCCCGGGGCCCCAGUCUGCUGAGUCAUGUGGCCCCUGAGUGCCGAGCUCAUACAAGCCACCUGUGAAUGACCACACGGGAAACAUUUCAGGAAACCAACGUCCCAAGCUGAGGCUGGUGUGACAGACUGGCUUCUGACCAGCGGAGAUGAGACGCACCAGCGGUCCAUCCCUGACGGUAAAGCUGGAACACGGUGAGGUGAAGAGGCAGGCGCUCAGUGGACGGAGUCCAGAAAACAAGGGAUGGAAACAUGGAUCCUGAAGGCAGCGUGACGUCACAUCCGGCGCGGCUGAGCUGUGACCUGGAACUGAGGAGUGCACCUGCGCAGG